GACGUGGUCCUUGACGACGGCCUGGUGGGUGGGGUAAGCAGAGUAGGCGGCGAGGUCGGGCUUGGAGUGGUUUUUGUUCCCAGUGCUUUCUGUUUCCAUCCUAGUGCUGUUGUAUUCUUGUUGUUGGUUUUUGUUCCAGGUUAUGGGAUCUUGCUCCUUCUCACCCAUUUGAUUUUAAAAUGUGGUGUAGGAUUUGAUGAUCGGUAACAUGAACUUAGUUCAUGGUGAAAUGGAUUUUCUUGAGCCUUUAAUGAUAUUAUUUUAGGAGAGGUUUUGCAUGAAUCCUUGCUAUGUUCAUGUUUAUUUGAUUGCUUAUUGCUCGAGCUUUUCUUAUCUGCAUUACAUGAUUUAACGAUCGAUAGGCUUGGAAUAGUAUAUGAUGAGACGGAUUUUCUUCGAUUCUUUCUUGAAGCUUUAUGUGUUUUCAAGAAAGAAACUUUAUAUGGCUUCUUGAUAUACUAGCAGUAAUUUGGUCAUCAUUGUCCUUGUUAUUGUUGUUGAUAUUGUUCCACCUUUCGCCAUCAUGCUCUAUCAUAUUGAUUCGAUAUCAAAAUAUAGUAAAUUAUCAAUGGUCAAUUGGAUGAAAAGAAAUUAAGCGGAAAGUCUUUCGCUUCUCUAGAAUUCUUCUAUAAGAUUUUCAGUGAUUCUUUUAAAGAACUUCUACAUUAUUAUUAAGAUUGGUUUUUUUUAUUGCGGUGCGUGAUUCGAACUAUUUUGCUCUAUGCUGCCCAUCUGAUUACAAAAGUUGGUGGGACAUGGACAGUGGAUUGGAUGAACAGAAUCUAUGGCAGAAUGGAUUUUCCUGGAUUCUUGGUUUGGGCUCCUAUACGUACUCAUUGGACAGUAGAGAACUGCCAAAUUAUCCAAGUUGGAAUACUAGCAUAAUUUUUAUAGUUUCUAAUGGUAAUCGAGGGGGUUUUUUAUGCUCAAAGAAUUUGUUAUUUCUCUGCAAUUUGCCAAGAUUUCAUAUAUCAGAAGUAUGAGGAUGAUGAAACAUGCUGUUGUCCAAAAUGCGAUGUCUACUUAGGCUCCUUUCCCCAGAGGAAACUUAGAGGUCAUUCGGAAAAUAUAUGAGAAGUCUUUAAGAAGGCUAAAGAGAGGAGCCACCCCCUCUGGUCCAAUGAGAUCUGAAAAAGGUGGUGUUAUGCUGUGGUCAAGCAUUUCUCCCAGAUGUGACAGUAAGCAGUGUCAUGGACAUUUGGCUUCAGAAUGCAGGCGGUACGGAUUGGAGGUCACAUGUACACCCAAAGGAAUAGGAGAAUAACAGUGUCACACUGACUCAAAUAUGUGAUGGUCUUGAUUUACAGGAGGAAAAAAAUGGAAGUGAACAGGAACAAAUAAAUGAAUUUACAUGCAUGAUCAUCUUCAGAUGGGUAGAUUUUGUUGGUAUCUGAUAUUUGAUGAAGAUCUAGUUGGGUUUAUAAGCCAAUCAUCACCCUGAAGAUAAUUCAGACCAUUGAUUGCGUUCGGAGAUUAUAUAAGGUGAGGUUAUCUGCAUAUCUUUUGUUGU